rnacentral:rRNA from 1 species
UACGAAGGGGGCUAGCGUUGCUCGGAAUGACUGGGCGUAAAGGGCGCGUAGGCGGAUGGCACAGUCAGAUGUGAAAUUCCCGGGCUUAACCUGGGGGCUGCAUUUGAUACGUGUUGUCUUGAGUUCGGAAGAGGGUCGUGGAAUUCCCAGUGUAGAGGUGAAAUUCGUAGAUAUUGGGAAGAACACCGGUGGCGAAGGCGGGUCUCUGGGCCGAUACUGACGCUGAGGAGCGAAAGCGUGGGGAGCGAACAGG